GACGAACGCUGGCGGCGUGCUUAACACAUGCAAGUCGAACGGAAAGGCCCUGCUUUUGUGGGGUGCUCGAGUGGCGAACGCGUGAGUAUCACGUGAGUAACCCGCCCUUGACUUUGGGAUAACUUUAGGAAACUGGGGCGAAUACCGGAUAGGAGCUCUUGCUGCAUGGUGGGGGUUGGAAAAUUUCGGCGGUGGGGGAUGGACUCGCGGCUUAGCAGCUUGUUGGUGGGGUAGUGGCUUACCAAGGCUUUGACGGGUAGCCGGCCUGAGAGGGGGACCGGCGACAUUGGGACUGAGAUACGGCCCAGACUCGUACGGGAGGCAGCGGUGGGGAAUAUUGCACAAGGGGCGGAAGCCUGAUGCAGCAACGCCGCGUGCGGGAUGACGUCCUACUAGUUGUGAACCGCUUUCGCCGGUGACGAAGCGGGAUUGACGGUAAUGGGUAAGGAAGCACCGGCUAACUACGUG
rnacentral:rRNA from 1 species